rnacentral:sRNA from 1 species
CGUCUUCGGCUACACCCCCUUUAAGUGCUCCCAUUU